rnacentral:rRNA from 1 species
UACGGGGGGGGCAAGCGUUGUUCGGAAUUACUGGGCGUAAAGGGCGCGUAGGCGGCCUGCUAAGUCGGAUGUGAAAUCCCUCGGCUCAACCGAGGAACUGCAUCCGAUACUGGCGGGCUUGAAUCCGGGAGAGGGAUGUGGAAUUCCCGGUGUAGCGGUGAAAUGCGUAGAUAUCGGGAGGAACAUCAGUGGCGAAGGCGGCCCUCUGGUCCAGUACUGACACUCAAGUGCGAAAGCGUGGGGAGCAAACAGG